UACAGAGGUCUCAAGCGUUGUUCGGAUUCAUUGGGCGUAAAGGGCGCGUAGGCGGUCGUGACAAGUCACUUGUGAAAUCUCCGGGCUUAACUCGGAGCGGCCAAGUGAUACUGUCGUGCUAGAGUGCGGAAGGGGCUACUGGAAUUCUCGGUGUAGCGGUGAAAUGCGUAGAUAUCGAGAGGAACACCUGCGGCGAAGGCGGGUUGCUGGGCUGAUACUGACGCUGAGGCGCGAAAGCCAGGGGAGCGAACGGG
rnacentral:rRNA from 1 species